CCGACUGAGCCACCCAGGCGCCCCCCGGGUUGCAGGAUUUAGAGGAAUAAGGAAGGAAUGAAGUGUCUAUUUGCUGUAUGGAGAAUGGACUGGAAAAGAGAAGGAAGUGGGAGUUCGUGCAGGAACCUGUUGCAGAAGCCCGGAGUUGCAGUUUUCCUUCAGCAAACCUCCUUUUUGGUACUUCGUGGCAGAGUGUUUUCAAACCCAUGCCUGGGACCAAUCAGGACACUGAGUGACCCAGGUGUCUGGGUGGAGGCCUGAGCUGGGAGAACGAAGGCGCUCCUGGAAGGUACCUGCAGAGGAUAGCAGCAUGGACGGGAAGGCCCAGGACAGCAGCAGAGGCCUUCCCCGCAGAGCGGUGCCCCCAGCCAUGGGGCUGCUGCUCUCCAUGGCUCUCAUGAAUGCUCUCCUCUACCUCUGCCUUGACUGGUUUUUCAUCGCCCCUCCCCACUCCACUCCGGGCUCCACCCACUGUCCCCACGGACAUUUCAGAAUGGGACAGAUGAAAAACUGUUCACCAUGGCUGUCCUGCGAGGAGCUGAGGACAGAAGUGAGGCAGCUGAAGCGUGUCGGGGAAGGAGCCGUGAA